rnacentral:sRNA from 1 species
GGGUAAUGAUAGUCGAUGGAGUAACGAUUCCAGCUAAAAUACUUGAUAUCAUAUUUGACAGUUCUUACACAUUAUUCUCGCAUGCCACUGCAAUUUGUCGGAAUAGAAACAAGGUCAGUGGAUGUUAUCGCAGGCACCAUCGAAAUCAUCAGGAUGUGUCCCCGAUUGUGACCUGGAACCACACGACACACGUCACUUGCUAAACUGUGAGACCCACUCAACUCAGACCCAGAGUCCUCUGGAUACAUCCCACCUUAGUUGUCGUUUUUUUGUUUUUUUGUUCCAUAAACAAGCAGUCGCGGUUAAUCAGCGGUAUCGAGCGGAGAGUCUCAGUGACAGGCCGGGCGACGACGGCUCUUGCAUAAAUACUGAGUGCCUAUGAUAUACGACAAGGCGAGUUAUUGGCGCAUGUAAAUAACCAUUGGCCACCAUGUUCUUUCUGCGAUCGGUCCUUUGGACCGGAACGAACUUGCUCACCUAGAGGAGCUAAGCGAGAAUAGCCACAUCCACAUGCAAAUGUGG